GGAGUUAGCCGGUGCUUCUUCUGCGAGUAACGUCACAGAUGUAAGGUAUUAACUUACACCCUUUCCUCCUCGCUGAAAGUGCUUUACAACCCGAAGGCCUUCUUCACACACGCGGCAUGGCUGCAUCAGGGUUUCCCCCAUUGUGCAAUAUUCCCCACUGCUGCCUCCCGUAGGAGUCUGGGCCGUGUCUCAGUCCCAGUGUGGCUGAUCAUCCUCUCAGACCAGCUAGGGAUCGUCGCCUAGGUGAGCCUUUACCUCACCUACUAGCUAAUCCCACCUGGGCUUAUCCAUCAGCGCAAGGCCCGAAGGUCCCCUGCUUUCCCCCGUAGGGCGUAUGCGGUAUUAGCAGUCGUUUCCAACUGUUAUCCCCACAAAUGGGCAAAUUCCCAGGCAUUACUCACCCGUCCGCCGCUCGUCAUCUUCAAAAGCAAGCUUUUGAAAUGUUACCGCUCGACUUGCAUGUGUUAGGCCUGCCGCCAGCGUUCAAUCUGAGCCAGAAUCAAACUCUGA
rnacentral:rRNA from 1 species